rnacentral:rRNA from 1 species
UACGUAGGGUGCAAGCGUUGUCCGGAAUUAUUGGGCGUAAAGAGCUCGUAGGCGGUUCGUCACGUCGGCUGUGAAAUCCCGAGGCUCAACCUCGGGUCUGCAGUCGAUACGGGCGGACUGGAGUACUGCAGGGGAGACUGGAAUUCCUGGUGUAGCGGUGAAAUGCGCAGAUAUCAGGAGGAACACCGGUGGCGAAGGCGGGUCUCUGGGCAACAACUGACGCUGAGGAGCGAAAGCGUGGGGAGCGAACAGG